GGCUAUUCGAUAUUUCCGAUGCAACUGUCAUGGCUGCCAUCAGUGAGGGCCCGAAAUGGAGAUCGGGUUAAGGGUUGCCCAGGGGCACUUAAAGCCUUCGGCUUCAAAGAGGCCUCUCAAAGGACAAAGGAUGAGAUUUUCUGGCGGCAGGGUGCCCCCCACAAUCCUAGGAACUGUGUCGUCGCGCUUCCCGUUAACUUGCCGCUAAGUUUUUCUAGAAAACUCGUCCUUCUUGGCAAGGGUGUCCUGUAGGUUUUGUCAUGGAGUGAAACAGAAACAAAUGUAGGUCUGCUGGGUUCUUGGCACAGUACCUGGACAAAACAUUGUUAAGGUGGAAAUUUUCAUUGUAUUUAUCACCUCAAACAUUUGACCAGUUUAUUUAGUUUUCUAGUGCUUUAGACAAACAACUAUAUGUGGGCUUGACUUAGUGUAUAA